rnacentral:lncRNA from 1 species
ACUGAACACAUGCCGCACCUGUUUUACACCCUAGAAAAUACUAAAACACUAUACUGGUUAUGCAAUUUCCACCUUCAGUCGCAUCUAACUAACGAUUCAAAUAUGAGUUUAAAAUACAAUGUCAAACAAUAUCUCUUUACCUCAGCGACUCUUGAAAAAACAAGAUAAGGAACGAAGAAUUUGGGAUUCACCGUCCAGAUAUCCAUCCAUUCCGUUUAUUAUGCUGGAAUCGUGAAACCUAGGCGAUAGAAGACCAAAAAAAAAGAAUUUUAAGGCAACUACAGUUUGCUUCUUUAUUCCUCUUUGAUUUACUCACUAAUGACGAACAUCAAAACCUACUCGCAACCAAUCCAAAAUUAAGGUUCCUCCCCUCUUUUUCGCCAGAAUCCCAGAUUUAAGAAUCAAGAACUGGUUACAAGUUCAGAGGCUUCUUUCUUUCGCUCUAUUAAUCGAAACCCUCGAUCUUGAUAACAGAGGGAAAGGGGAGAAGAAAGGAACCUGAUGAGGACUCGUCGGCUUCUUUGAUCUAAAGCUCAAGCUCUCUGAUUUGCUCCAUCUGAAGCCUCUCACGCUCCAGAAUCCCCUCGACGCUCUCCUCUUCCGUCGCUCUCCCCCUCUUCUACCGCGAGCGCUGUUUCGAAGGUGGAUAUAAGCGCACGUGCCGAGGGAACGGUGCUUUCGCCGCUCCCAGUUUCCUGUUUGGUAUCUCCUGUUUUAUUUUUU